rnacentral:lncRNA from 1 species
GGAAGGACACUUCUAUAAAAGACGAAGUUGGUUGUACUUCCCAUGAAACCAUUAUUGAAGACACAAGUUUGCAUAACAGCAAUGAGAGAAAAUUGCCGUGGCCAAAAUCAUCUGAAGAAAUUAGAAGCAUGAGACUAGGACAAAGAAGGAAGAGCAGGACUGGGAAGCAAGAGUUCAGUGGGCAAUCUAGGUUUGGCUUACUCUGGAGCAUUUAAUUAUGCCCCAUGAUCCAGGAAAAAGGGUUGCUCAUGUAAGGAGUCCAACAUACACUACAUGGCACUUUCACUACAUUUUUCUAAUGAAAAUUGCCAAAUUCUUAUGUGUGCCUGAUCUAGAUUCAGCCCAGGGUCAGAAAUCCAGGCUCCUUUGCCCAUCUAAUAAGAAAGGAUGAAAGUUGAAAGCCGCUCUCAGAAAUGGACAUGUAAGAAGACAUACACAGGUCCCAAGUAUAAAUGGAUUCAAGCUACUUGGAAUUUGGUAAGUGUGAUUCUCACUUGAGGGUGAGGUGGUCUAGACCUAUGUAUGCCACAGGGGAGAAGCAUGUAACCUCUCCAGAUUAAUCUAAAAUAUAGGGUCGA